GUCUUCGAGUCGUUGAUUUCACACUGCCGAGAAAAGCCUCUAGAUAGAAAAUAGGUGCCCGUACCGCAAACCGACACAGGUAGUCAAGAUGAGAAUUCUAAGGUGAGCGAGCGAACUCUCGUUAAGGAACUCGGCAAAAUGACCCCGUAACUUCGGGAGAAGGGGUGCUCUUUAGGGUUAACGCCCAGAAGAGCCGCAGUGAAUAGGCCCAAGCGACUGUUUAUCAAAAACACAGGUCUCUGCUAAACCGUAAGGUGAUGUAUAGGGGCUGACGCCUGCCCGGUGCUGGAAGGUUAAGAGGAGUGGUUAGCUUCUGCGAAGCUACGAAUCGAAGCCCCAGUAAACGGCGGCCGUAACUAUAACGGUCCUAAGGUAGCGAAAUUCCUUGUCGGGUAAGUUCCGACCCGCACGAAAGGCGUAACGAUUUGGGCACUGUCUCAACGAGAGACUCGGUGAAAUCAUAGUACCUGUGAAGAUGCAGGUUACCCGCGACAGGACGGAAAGACCCCGUGGAGCUUUACUGUAGCCUGAUAUUGAAAUUCGGCACAGCUUGUACAGGAUAGGUAGGAGCCUUUGAAACGUGAGCGCUAGCUUACGUGGAGGCGCUGGUGGGAUACUACCCUAGCUGUGUUGGCUUUCUAACCCGCACCACUUAUCGUGGUGGGAGACAGUGUCAGGCGGGCAGUUUGACUGGGGCGGUCGCCUCCUAAAAGGUAACGGAGGCGCUCAAAGGUUCCCUCAGAAUGGUUGGAAAUCAUUCAUAGAGUGUAAAGGCAUAAGGGAGCUUGACUGCGAGACCUACAAGUCGAGCAGGGUCGAAAGACGGACUUAGUGAUCCGGUGGUUCCGCAUGGAAGGGCCAUUGCUCAACGGAUAAAAGCUACCCCGGGGAUAACAGGCUUAUCUCCCCCAAGAGUUCACAUCGACGGGGAGGUUUGGCACCUCGAUGUCGGCUCAUCGCAUCCUGGGGCUGUAGUCGGUCCCAAGGGUUGGGCUGUUCGCCCAUUAAAGCGGUACGCGAGCUGGGUUCAGAACGUCGUGAGACAGUUCGGUCCCUAUCCGUCGUGGGCGUAGGAAAUUUGAGAGGAGCUGUCCUUAGUACGAGAGGACCGGGAUGGACAUACCUCUGGUGUACCAGUUGUCGUGCCAACGGCAUAGCUGGGUAGCUAUGUGUGGACGGGAUAAGUGCUGAAAGCAUCUAAGCAUGAAGCCCCCCUCAAGAUGAGAUUUCCCAACUUCGGUUAUAAGAUCCCUCAAAGAUGAUGAGGUUAAUAGGUUCGAGGUGGAAGCAUGGUGACAUGUGGAGCUGACGAAUACUAAUCGAUCGAAGACUUAAUC
rnacentral:rRNA from 2 species